GCGAACUGCGGUGCAGGUGCCGUGGUAAUACGUAGGGUGCACAGGUUGAGCGUGAUUAUUGGGCGCAAAGCGGACGUAGGCGGCAUUGGAAGUCGGAUGUGAAAUCCCUCGGCAUAAGCGAGGACGGGCAUGCGAAACUGUGGGGCUCGAGUAUGGAAGAGGGUGGCAGAAUUCCCGGUGAAGAGGUGAAAUUCGUAGAUAUCGGGAGGAAUACCAGUGGCGAAGGCGGCGACCUGGGCCAAUACUGACGCUGAGGUGCGAAAGCGUGGGGAGCAAACAGGAUUAGAUACCCGGGUAGUC
rnacentral:rRNA from 1 species